CGCGUAGGUGGUAGUGUAAGUCUGAGGUGGAAUCCCAGGGCUUAACCCUGGAACUGCCUUGGAAACUGCAUUACUUGAGUCAGUGAGGGGAGGGUAGAAUUCCUGGUGUAGCGGUGAAAUGCGUAGAUAUCAGGAGGAAGGCCUGUGGCGAAGGCGGCCCUCUGGUGCUGGACUGACACUGAGGCGCGAAAGCGUGGGGAGCAAACAGGAUUAGAUACCCUGGUAGUCCACGCCCUAAACGGUGGGCACUAGGUGUAGGGCUCGUAAGGGUUCUGUGCCGAAGGGAAACCAUUAAGUGCCCCGCCGUGGGGAGUACGGCCGCAAGGUUGAA
rnacentral:rRNA from 1 species